UAACAAUAUCGGUUAUUUAGUUUCCAUCAGGAAUUCAGGUGGCACAGAAGAUAUUACUCCUGGCCAGAUCCUUUUCGUCCAUGUGUCUUAUCCACUCAGAUCAUCUUCUUCCACAAGUCUUAUUCACUCUACUGGGCCGAAGGACAGCAUUGGGAUCAUCUAAUGGUGUAUAAUCGAUGUGUUUGAUAGGUUUCCCCACAGACAGGAUAAUUA